CAGCAGCCACGGGAAUACGUAGGUGGCAAGCGUUGUCCGGAAUUAUUGGGCGUAAAGGGCUCGCAGGCGGUUUCUUAAGUCUGAUGUGAAAGCCCCCGGCUCAACCGGGGAGGGUCAUUGGAAACUGGGAAACUUGAGUGCAGAAGAGGAGAGUGGAAUCCCACGUGUAGCGGUGAAAUGCGUAGAGAUGUGGAGGAACACCAGUGGCGAAGGCGACUCUCUGGUCUGUAACUGACGCUGAGGAGCGAAAGCGAGGGGAGCGAACAGGAUUAGAUACCCGUGUAGUCCCUGUCUCUUAUAC
rnacentral:rRNA from 1 species